UACGUAGGGGGCAAGCGUUGUCCGGAUUCAUUGGGCGUAAAGAGCGUGUAGGCGGCCAGGUAGGUCGGUUGUGAAAACUGGAGGCUCAACCUUCAGAUGUCGGCGGAAACCACUUGGCUAGAGUCCGGAAGAGGAGAGUGGAAUUCCCGGUGUAGCGGUGAAAUGCGCAGAUAUCGGGAAGAACACCUAUGGCGAAGGCAGCUCUCUGGGACGGUACUGACGCUGAGACGCGAAAGCGUGGGGAGCGAACAGG
rnacentral:rRNA from 1 species